CCGCGCCCCCAAUCAUCAGCCGCCGCCACCUCCCACCUUCUCCUCGUAAUCCGGCGCCGGCCACCUCCUCCUCGCCACUUGGCACCGUCCCAUAGGCCGUGCCACCGCCAGUUGUCGCGCGCAGCCAACCGGGUGUUGCCACGUCCUCCCCCGUGCCCCACUUCAUUGCGGCCCGCUAGGAACCCAGAUCGGGCCCUGGGAAGCCCAUCUGGGCCCGGCUCCCGCUCCAGCCCGUGCCCGAGGCGCUCCCUCCUCGGUCCCGAUCUGGAUCGAGGGAGCGAGGAGCUCCUGCCCCGCCUCGCCGGACCUCCCCUGCCCGUCGCCGGCGAACUCAUCGCCGGAGCGUCCCCGCCGUCUUCGCGCUCGUCGCCGGGUCGCUGCCCCAUCGCAGGAGUUACCCAGGCCGCCGUCGAUGGGCGCCUCGUCGCCGGCCCCUCCGACGCCAGAUCCGCGGUCCCCAGGCCCGGAUCUGCCUGUUCCCGCCGCCCCGCGCCUCCUCUGGCCUCUCCGGCCGUCGUCAGCCCAAGCCCGGCGAGCCCCGACCUCGCCUCGUCCUCACAGGGGUCGGGCACGAGCCCUCCCGUGUAGACCUCGCGCAUUGACCGCCGCCUCCCGCGUGGGCCUCGCUCUAGCCCAGGCCACGUCCCGGCCUGGUCCAGCUCCUCUGCCUGCCCAAGCCUCUCCACCGACUGGGCCUAGCCCAUGUUCCGGUAACGUUGCGUUUGUGAGGAUUCGUUCGACUACGUUGGUUCAUCUACUUCAUG